UAGCGGUAAAAUGCGCAGAUAUCGGGAGGAACACCGGUGGCGAAAGCGGCACCCUGGGGUGCACCUGACGCUGAGAGACGACAGCUAGGGGAGCGAACAGGAUUAGAGACCCUGGUAGUCCUAGCCGUAAACGAUGGAUGCUAGGUGUGGGAGUGAAGAACUUCUGUGCCGCAGCGAACGCGAUAAGCAUCCCGCCUGGGGAGUACGGCCGCAAGGUUAAAACUCAAACGAAUUGACGGGGACCCGCACAAGCAGCGGAGCGUGUGGUUUAAUUCGAUGCUACACGAAGAACCUUACCUGGGAUUGACAUAUGGGUGGUAGUGAGCCGAAAGGCAAGCGACCCUUCGGGGAGCCUAUACAGGUGCUGCAUGGCUGUCGUCAGCUCGUGCCGUGAGGUGUCGGGUUAAGUCCCGUAACGAGCGCAACCCCUGUCCUUAGUUACAAGUGUCUAAGGGGACUGCCGGCGGGAAGCCGGAGGAAGGUGGGGAUGACGUCAAGUCAGCAUGGCCCUUAUAUCCAGGGCGACACACACGCUACAAUGGUCGGUACAGAGGGCAGCGAAGCCGCGAGGUGGAGCGAAACCCAGAAAGCCGGUCGUAGUUCGGAUUGCAGGCUGCAACACGCCUGCAUG
rnacentral:rRNA from 1 species